CAUGUCUUUUUGUAAAAUAUCUAAGGUCUAAUCUGCCCACUGAAUUUUUUUUAAAGGGCCGCAGUAACCUGACUGUGCAAAGGUAGCAUAAUCAUUUGUCUCUUAAUUGGAGGCUGGUAUGAAUGAUUGGACGAGGUAGAGGCUGUCUCAUUAUUAUAAUUAUAAUAAUUUAGCUUUUUAGUUAAAAGGCUAAAAUUUUUUUGGAGGACGAGAAGACCCUAUAGAUCUUUAUAAUAUUUAAUUUACUUUUAUUAUGGUUACAAAUUUUUUAGUAUAUUAUAAAUUAUUUUGUUGGGGUGACAUGAAAAUUUAUUUAACUUUUCAUUAAUUUAAACAUGAAUUAGUGAGUAUUUGAUCCAUUUUUAGUGAUUAUAAGAAUAAGUUACCUUAGGGAUAACAGCGUUAUUUUAUUGGAGAGUUCAUAUUGAUAAUAAAGUUUGCGACCUC
rnacentral:rRNA from 1 species